CCUAAUUAGGGUUUCGAGAGCAACACUCAAAAGAGAGGAGGACGAAGACGACGAAGAAGACGACGACGAAGCUCCCCCUCUCUCACAAUGGGUAUCUCUCGCGACUCCAUGCGCAAGCGCCGCGCCACAGGGGGGAAGAAGAAGGCGUGGAGGAAGAAGAGGAAUGGUUGGCGUCUGCAAGUUGAGAAUAGGAAAAUCCGGGAUGUGAAGGAGCUGCUGCAGCAGGAGCAGCAGUGGAAGCGCCAAAGGCAUCGUAGCUCGCUGAAGAAGGGGCCGUGGGGGCGCCUCCUGAAGCCGGCGG